GACGAACGCUGGCGGCGUGCUUAACACAUGCAAGUCGAACGGACAGGCCCUGCUUUUGUGGGGUGCUCGAGUGGCGAACGGGUGAGUAACACGUGAGUAACCUGCCCUUGACUUUGGGAUAACUUCAGGAAACUGUGGCUAAUACCGGAUAGGAGCUCCUGCUGCAUGGUGUGGGUUGGAAAGUUUCGGCGGUUGGGGAUGGACUCGCGGCUUAUCAGCUUGUUGGUGGGGUAGUGGCUUACCAAGGCUUUGACGGGUAGCCGGCCUGAGAGGGUGACCGGCCACAUUGGGACUGAGAGACGGCCCAGACUCCUACGGGAGGCAGCAGUGGGGAAUAUUGCACAAUGGGCGGAAGCCUGAUGCAGCGACGCCGCGUGCGGGAUGACGGCCUUCGGGUUGUAAACCGCUUUCGCCUGGGAAGAAGCGAGAGUGACGGUAAUGGGUAAAGAAGCACCGGCUAACUACGUG
rnacentral:rRNA from 1 species